AUUAAAAUAAAAUAGGUAGUAUCAAAAUAAUGAAAAACCUAUAUAAUCUGGCGGCAUUUCAUCUUACUAGAGGAACAUGUUAUUUAAUCGAUAAUACACGAUCAAUUUAACUUAUUUCAAAAUUUUAUAUACCUCCAUCCACAAAUUAAUUUUAAAAUAUUUUUUAAAUAAAAUUCUAAAAGGUUAGGUAAAGGUGUAAACUAAAAAUAAGGUUUAAAUGUGUUACAUUAAACAAAAUUUAAGGAUUAUACCCUAAAGUUUAUUUUAAAAAAGGAUUUAAAAGUAAAAUUAUCACAAUAUCUUAACUUGAAUAAGAAAAUAAAUGUGC
rnacentral:rRNA from 1 species